rnacentral:pre_miRNA from 15 species
GAGGUGCCACAUUGCAUUUGAAAAUUCAUGUUUCAACUUCAUGGAUCUCUUGGUGGGUCAAGUUUAGGAAUAUACCAACCUGGAGGACUCCAAGCUGUUGAGCUAUCCAAAAGCAACAGAUAUGAAUA